GCCAGAGUGGCAUAGUGGUUUGAACGUUGGACCAUGACUCGAGUCCAGGGUUCGAUUCCCUGCUCGAGCA